GAUGAACGCUGGCGGCGUGCCUAAUACAUGCAAGUCGAGCGAACAGACGAGGAGCUUGCUCCUCUGACGUUAGCGGCGGACGGGUGAGUAACACGUGGAUAACCUACCUAUAAGACUGGGAUAACUUCGGGAAACCGGAGCUAAUACCGGAUAACAUGUUGAACCGCAUGGUUCAACAGUGAAAGACGGUCUUGCUGUCACUUAUAGAUGGAUCCGCGCCGCAUUAGCUAGUUGGUAAGGUAACGGCUUACCAAGGCAACGAUGCGUAGCCGACCUGAGAGGUUGAUAGGCCAUACCUGAACUGAACCACGGUCCAGACUCCUACGGGAGGCAGCAGUAGGGAAUCUUCCGCAAUGAGAGAAAGCCUGACGGAGCAACGCCGCGUGAGUGAAGAAGGUCUUCGGAUCGUAAAACUCUGUGAUUAGGGAAGAACAAAUGUGGAAGUAACUAUGCACGGCUUGACGGUACCUAAUCAGAAAGCCACGGCUAACUACGUG
rnacentral:rRNA from 1 species